CACGUAGGGGGCAAGCGUUGUCCGGAAUCAUUGGGCGUAAAGAGCUCGUAGGCGGCUCAGUAAGUCGGGUGUGAAAUCUCGGGGCUUAACUCCGAAACUGCAUUCGAUACUGCCGUGCUUGAGGACUGGAGAGGAGACUGGAAUUUACGGUGUAGCGGUGAAAUGCGUAGAUAUCGUAAGGAAGACCAGUGGCGAAGGCGGGUCUCUGGACAGUUCCUGACGCUGAGGCACGAAGGUCAGGGGAGCAAACGGG
rnacentral:rRNA from 1 species